rnacentral:rRNA from 1 species
UGUAAAGUUCAAGCUCCGAUUAUGAGGGCGAAACCGCGAAUGGCUCAUUAAAUCAGUCAUAAUCUACUUGAUUGUUUAAAGGUAUAUGGAUAACUGUGGUAAUUCUAGAGCUAAUACAUGCACAAAGGGGGCGACUCGAGCAAUCGAGAAGCUCUGCGUUUAUUAGAUUAAGACCAAUGAUUGGCGCAAGCCUUUCUGUUUUAAGGUGACUCUGAAUAAAUAAUGGGUGAAAGCCCAUGUUGCUGACCUGACACACCAAAAAGGGCGCAAGCUCUUGUCAGGCAAAUCAAUCGAGUGUCUGCUCUAUCAACUGUGGAUGGUAGGGUAAUUGCCUACCAUGGUGAUGACGGGUAACGGGGAGUUAGGGCUCGACUCCGGAGAACAAGCCUGAGAAACGGCUAGUAGGACUAAGGUCUGCAGCAGGCGCGAAACUUACACAAUGCUAGAUUAAAAUUAGCGAUGUAGUGAAGAAAAAUAACGAUGUACUUUCAUCUACAAAUGAUAGUACAAUUGGAAUGAGACGACUAUAAACCAGUUAGUCGAGUAACAAAUGGAGGGCAAGUCUGGUGCCAGCAGCCGCGGUAAUUCCAGCUCCAUUAGCAUACAUUAAAGUUGUUGCGGUUAAAAAGCUCGUAGUUGAAUUUUAGGCGAGCUCUAUUGGAUUGCAACCGUAAAGACUGCCUUGCUCACGCUCGGUCAGUUGGUUGUAUCAUCCUAUAGGAACUCGCUGUUUCGUCACUUAAUCGAGUGCGAAGCGGGCUGAAACAUUUGUUUAAACUUCGCGUUUGCAUUGUUCCAGCAAGUUUACCUUGAGAAAAUUAGAGUGCUCACAGCAGGCAGUUGGGGUGUAAAAGCCCCUUUAUGCUUGGAUAAUGUUGCAUGGAAUAAUAGAAUACGGCCUCGGUUCUAUUCUGUUGGUCUUAUAGAACAACAAACAAGUUGGUUAAAGCGACAAAAAGUUCGUUUGUGAGUGUGGCUAUAAGGGUCUUUCAUGUUGUUUAGUUCUGUCUUUAAGGGUUAUGUUGCCUGGGAGUAAAACCUCAGAGCCAUGCCCUUCCAGUCUAGUCUACACAGCUGUCUGUUACUCUUAUAACCAUUUAAAGCACUCCUAACUGGGCUAGCUUUCUAAUCAACUGAGGCAAUGGUUAAAAGAAAUAGUCGCGGCGGCAUCAGUACUGCAUCGUGAGAGGUGAAAUUCUUAGACCGAUGCAAGACUAACUGAAGCGAAAGCGUUUGCCGAGGAUAUUUUCAUUAAUCAAGAACGAAAGUUAGAGGUUCGAAGGCGAUCAGAUACCGCCCUAGUUCUAACCAUAAACGUUGCCAACUAGCAAUUGGGUUGCGAUUCCUUUAAUCGAAGCGUAAAAAACUUCGAUCAUUAUGAUCCACCCAGCGGCUCUCGUAGGGAAACCAAAGUGUUUGGGUUCCGGGGGAAGUAUGAUUGCAAAGUUGAAACUUAAAGGAAUUGACGGAAGGGCACCACCAGGAGUGGAGCCUGCGGCUUAAUUUGACUCAACACGGGGAAACUUACUAGAUUAGAACUCUGGAAUGAUUGACAGAUUGAUAGCUCUUUCUUGAUUCAGAGGAUGGUGGUGCAUGGCCGUUCUUGAUUCGUAUUCCGAAACGUCUGCUUAAUUGCGAUAACGAGUGAGACCUCACCCAACUAACUAGUCGUUUGGUGCGCUGUGGGACGCAAAAGUCUCUGUAGGAUUUGGCUGGUGUGUAAAAGCAUCAGACUGCCUGCGUGGGAUGUCCUCUGCUCGCCUGCGGACUUCUUAGAGGGAUAAACGGUGUUUUAGCCGUAAGAAACGAG